AGAAGAUCGAUUGCAGGACAGAAAAUGGCGACGAGUGCAAGGAGGGCUACAGCAUCAACACCUGCAGGGCCCUCCCUUCCCCCCCUCUAUUUACAUAAAAUGGUUCAGUCCGACUGGAUCAGCUGCAGGUAGAGCACGGCUAUUUGUCACAGACAGCGCCACAGCGGGCAGAGCGGAGGAGACAGCAGUAUGCCUCAAAAAUCAGGCAGCCAAAAAAGAAAGGAAAAGAAAAUAAGAGAGGAGAAGGAGUUGAAGGGUCGACAAUAUGUCACUCAAUAUUUCCAAAAAAAAAGAGUCAAGUGCACCAGCAGCAGCAGCAGCUGUCUGUCAGCCCCCAACUCCCCCUGC